CAAAACAGAAACCUUCACCAGCAAACCGGAGAGAAAUAUCCGACGACAUUACUGAUAAAUGGAAAACAAAUUACAAGCGAGAAUCAUUAGACGUUGACUCAAAAGUUGAUGAUAUGAUGUUCUCAUUACAAGAGGUAUGUUUCCACGAUAAACCAAAAAAGACAGCGACUCAAAUGUUAAAAGACACCCAAUCCAUACUGAACAAUAUUGAUGUAUACAGUGAUGUAGUGAAACUUAACACACAGCUGAGAAAUAAGUUAAAAUGGAUAGUGGAAG